rnacentral:tRNA from 1 species
UUAGUUAAAGCCAAAAAGAGGCGUAUCACUGUUAAUGAUAGAACUGAAAUUAUAUUUCUAACUAAG